rnacentral:rRNA from 1 species
UACGAAGGGGGGCUAGCGUUGUUCGGAAUUACUGGGCGUAAAGCGCACGUAGGCGGGUUGUUAAGUCAGGGGUGAAAUCCUGGAGCUCAACUCCAGAACUGCCUUUGAUACUGGCAACCUAGAGACUGGAAGAGGUUAGUGGAAUUCCCAGUGUAGAGGUGAAAUUCGUAGAUAUCGCAAGAACACCAGUGGCGGAAGGCGGCUCACUGGCCCGAUACUGACGCUGAGGUGCGAAAGCGUGGGGAGCAAACAGG